GCUCUGUAUUUUAUUAUCAGAAGACGCGGUGACGAGGAAAACAUUAGGGUUCGAAAACUAGAUAAAGGCCUACAUCACAUCUGGUUGGAAAUCACAAGUUGAGUUUUGAGCCAAGGAAAAGAAAUACUCUCAGCCAGUAUUUCUUUUUCUUUGUUCACUACCUCCCUCCUUUCAGAUCUCAACCCUGUGUGUAAUAUACGCCAAAUCUUCAUAUAUAUUUUAACAGGAGCAUGAUGAAGAAAUCAGGGAUCUUUGUUGCAGCUGCAGCCUCCGUCACUGCUAUUUCAUCUGCCGUUUAUCACAACCCCAAUUCCCAGAUUCACUUUUCAUCUCCUCAGGAUGAUGUUUCUGGGAGGAAUGGGGGAAAUUCAUCGAAGGGCGGUGCUGCCUUUGCUCCAAGAUUCGAUGGUUUGAGGUUUAUCGAAACUUUGAUCACUGGUCACCGGUGAAUUGAUUGAAUUGCAUUUGUUGUUUGAUUGCAGCAAUGUGUUCUCAUUUUUGAUCUGGGGAAACAAUUGGUGUUUCUUGAUUGUAUCGUUUAGUUUCGGAGAUCGUUGUUUCGGAAUUAGGGGUUGAGUUGUAGCUGUAACAUUACUUAUCUAAGGCUAUUAGACAAUCUGAGUUUAUCAUAAAUUUUGGUGCUCGAUGUUGUGCUUAUAAAUUUCUUAUUAUUGAAUCUCAUCCUGAAAUCCAUAGACAUUUGUGAAUUCUGCCAAAACCUUAAGGUUUCACAAGAGGUUGCCAUGUAACAUGGUAUUUAUGUUGUGCCUAUGCAUUAUUGGUGUGGUUUGAGUUCCCUCCUAGCGAAUCUCAUCCUGAAAUUUAUUUACUUUAGUGAAUUCUGCCAACACCUUAAGGUUUCACGAGAGGUUGUCAUGUAACAUGAUAUUAUAGGACACAAGGUCCGGACUGUUAGUCAUUUAACAUGUUAUCAUCAUACAAACAAUAAGACAAGACACGUGUUUUUUUUAAUUCACACCUCUUCUGCAAAUUAGAACUUGAUGCCUCUGGCUACUCAAUUAUUCUUUAAAUAAAAAAUCAUCGACUAUUCAGAGUCUUGAGUGAAAAUUAGGGAGGCACUGCACUUUGAAAAUUGCAGGGUUGCAUAGCUACUGAUUAUCAACAUUAACAAGACUUUAAGGACAUAGUUAUUCAUCUAACAAUCUCCUUCUUGAAAACCUUACCUUUUUUCUUUAUUUGUCCAAACAAGCAUAUGUCACAUUACUUCGGUGUAAACUCAAUUUUAUGAUUCAUAAUCACUUUGAUGUACAAUGAUUUUUCUUUCACUUCAAUUUUGUGUCUUGAUUUGUCCAAACAAGCAUAUGUCACAUUCCUUCUGUGUAAAUUCAACUUUAUGAUUCAUUAUCACUUUGAUGUACAAUGAUAUUUCCUUCACUUUAAUUUUGUGUCUUGAUUUGUCCAAUCAAGCAUGCCACCAGCAUGAAGUGUUUGCUCAACCUUACAAUGCAUUAUCACUUUAUUAUACAAUUGAUUACUCUACCUUUCACUUUAACAUGAAUGCCUUUGUUUCCUGUCAUGUACAAACCAGCAUCAAAUAGGGAGUCAACUGUACUAUUUAUUAUCACUUCAAAGUUUGACAUGAAUUGAUUGGUCUUCACUUCAAUGUUGAAUAAUGUUAGUGUAUAACACAAGUAGUGAAUUAGAGAAGAAUUAGGCUAUGUUUCUGAUAAUUUUGUAUGAAUAAGACAGAGUAGUUAUAAGAAUCUUUUUCUUUGCUUGUCAGACCUGAAUUAAGAAAAAUAGAAAAUGUGCACAUAUUUCAGUUAGUUUGUAAUCUGGCUAGCCAAAAAAAAUAAUGUUAGUAUCGCAACAUGUAAUUAUUAUUUUACAUUAUUAUUUUCAGUUUUGUAUGUUUAGUAUUUCAUCUAUUUGCCUAUUAAAUGUGUAUAGUGAGAAUGAUACUGUUAGAUCAGGAUGUUUCCUUCAAGUAAAAGUCUUUAAAGCUUAGCAAAUGGAUGGACUUGCCAAGACUGGCAUUUUCUUGAAAGAGAACUUGGUAGGAAGAAAAGGGUUCCUGCUGCUGAAGAAGGGAACUGCCUAGCACCUAGUGGCUGGAAGCAUCUAAUUUUUGAUUUUAUCAUCUGCAUGAUUGGUAUACAGUUUAUCUGAUAGACGAGUUAUGUUAAGGAAUUGCUUGAAAGGGGCUGGCUAGCUGCUACAUGAACAAAGUUGUACAUAUGCAAGAUUUCCCUGCGGUUUUGCCUUUAUGGCUUAUAGACCUGCCCAGAAACCUUCAAGCUACUAGAGCUUCUAACAAACUGUCUAGAGUGUGUCUAUAGUGUCUUGGACUGCUUUAACCCUGCUCCUCCAGUCCAAAUGUGUUAAGCUGUGGAACACUUCCCGCUACCGGCUGCCAUCCAAACAAAAGAUGUAUGACAAUAUUAUUAGCAGAUCGAUUAAGAAGAAUUAAUUACUGGUGUUAUUUUAGGUGCACUCGAGAUAAGUUGACAACCAUCCUGUGGCGUUGGAGGAACUCAGGUUUAGAACUUGUAUAUUUCUCGCUAUAGAACUUAUUUCGCUAAGCUCAAGGC